rnacentral:rRNA from 1 species
AUGGCGGGCGCCGGCGGGACGAGGGAGCGGGAGGAGGAAGACUUCGUCUGCCUGGAUCCGUCCUUCUUCAUGAACCGCAACUACGAGAUGAAGACCUUCACCUACGGCUCCCAGGAGCUCCAGCUCCUCUGCCUCAGCUCCGCCUGCACUGAUUAUGAUCUUACUGGACAGUUAGUAUGGCCAGGUGCUGUUCUGAUGAACACGUACCUAUCUGAACACCCUGAGACUGUGAAGGGGCAUUCAUUAAUUGAGUUGGGAUCUGGGAUCGGCAUUACCGGCAUAUUGUGCAGCCGUUUCUGCAAAGAGGUGGUAUUGACUGAUCACAAUGAUGAAGUUCUAGAGAUUAUAAAGAAAAAUAUAGAGAUGCAGUCAUGUUCUGGCAAUGCGGAUGCAGUGUUGACUGCUGAGAAGCUAGAAUGGGGAAAUCAUGAUCAUCUAAGCAAUAUCAUUGAAAAACAUCCUGUUGGAUUUGAUCUCAUUCUUGGAGCCGAUAUCUGCUUCCAGCAAGCUAGCAUUCCAUGUCUCUUUGAUACUGUAGAGAAGCUUCUUCGUAUGCAGGCCAAUAAAUGUAGAUUUAUACUGGCUUAUGUAUCACGAACCAAAGUCAUGGAUGCACUGGUACUGAAGGAAGCUGAAAAACGUGGAAUGGUCGUCGAGGAAGUGGACGGGACAAGAACAACCAUCACAGAUCUCGAAGGCGUCAUAUUCGACAUCACCCUCAAAUGA